UGGGGAAUAUUGCACAAUGGAGGAAACUCUGAUGCAGCGAUGCCGCGUGAGGGAAGAAGGUUUUCGGAUUGUAAACCUCUGUCUUCAGGGACGAAAAUGACGGUACCUGAGGAGGAAGCUCCGGCUAACUACGUGCCAGCAGCCGCGGUAAUACGUAGGUGGCAAGCGUUAUCCGGAUUUACUGGGUGUAAAGGGCGUGUAGGCGGGAUUGCAAGUCAGAUGUGAAAACCACGGGCUCAACCUGUGGCCUGCAUUUGAAACUGUAGUUCUUGAGUACUGGAGAGGCAGACGGAAUUCCUAGUGUAGCGGUGAAAUGCGUAGAUAUUAGGAGGAACACCAGUGGCGAAGGCGGUCUGCUGGACAGCAAACUGACGCUGAGGCG
rnacentral:rRNA from 1 species